ACAGAACAAGCAACCACAUCGGCAGUGUCAAUAGAAGCUGCAGCAAAUCAAACUCCAUCUGCUGCAACACGUCACUUGCCACAUAACAAUCCAACUUUUCAAUUACUACUAUCGGAAGCACUAAAAGAAGCAGCGAGAAUCCAGGAGUUCCGAGGAGAUAAUACAUACGACGUCACAUCAUUUAUUAAUGAAGUCGAACUUUUCAUCGACUUGUUUGCCGGUACCAACGUGGAGGAGUAUUUUUAUAAGCGGCACGUCCAAAAAAAAAUUCAAGGAGAAGCAGCUAACGCAAUUAGAGCCCUCGACAAUCCAAGCUGGACAGAAACAAAACAAGAACUCCUGAGGAAUUUUGGAGUUCGCGAAUCGUAUCAUCAACUGUACCACAAGGCGCUGAACGUAAGAAAUUAUAAUGGGCAAUGGACAUCAACAGGUAUAUUAAUCCUGAUGAUAAUACCACUAGUAAUGUCAACAUUAAUAAUCCAACCCAUCAACGAAAACCAUAA